rnacentral:misc_RNA from 1 species
GAUGAAGAACGUAGCGAAAUGCGAUAAGUAAUGCGAAUUGCAGAAUUCCAGUGAGUCAUCGAAUCUUUGAACGCACAUUGCGCCCUUUGGUAUUCCGAAGGGCAUGCCUGUUCGAGCGUCAUUAUCACCCCUCAAGCCCUCGGCUUGGUGUUGGACGGUUUGGUGGAGGCCCCCUCGGGGGCUCCUGCCCCUCCCAAAGACAAUGACGGCGGCCUCGUUGGACCCCCGGUACACUGAGUUCUUCACGGGACACGUAUCGGACACAUGGGUUUACGGGACACGGUCUGCCUCCCCUCAGGGAGAAUCUUUCUAAGGUUGACCUCGGAUCAGGUAGGGAUACCCGUUGAACUUAAGCAUAUCAAUAAGCGGAGGA